AUAAGUUGGUCUCUGUAGUGACCAUGUGGAAGUCCUGACCUCGCUUGCAGACUUGACCUCUGGACAUGACAAGGUGAGGCUCUGUAUUCACGAUACAUCUCCUUAAGUUCACCGGGCUCAUGAAAAGAAGUGCUGAAUCAGCGAAUCGAGUGAGGAACAAGAUGAGAUGGCUGCGGCUGCUGUGACUCUGUAGGUCAUUGCCUCUCUUCCUGCUGCAAAUGCUGCACAACACUAGGCUUACAGGCCCUAGAAGCAAACUCUCCCCUACCCCUCCCCCAAAAGAAAAGAAGAAACUUGUUCUGAAGACUAUGAAGAAAUACCACGCUGAUCUUAGCAAUUUCUGAAAAACUCCACUAAUUCUAUGAAUCUCUUGCAAAAAGAACCAAAUCAGGACAAAGUUCAACAGAUAACUGGUCAAAUGUUUAAGAAUGUCUAUGUCACCGAGAACAAGGAACCAUAAAUGGUAUCAAUGC